CAGACCCUGUGUGGAGACAAAACUCCUGUCGGGGGAGGGGGUAACAGUUACCCCGUGGGCUGAGCCGCCUGCUGUGCUUGCAAAUGUAGGGGGGGGGGGCAGAGGCCUUUUUAUUUCUGCUGACAGGAAACUGCCUGUCAGCCCUGGAGCAGAGGGCGGGUUCCUGGGGCUGGGUUCUUAAAGGCACAGGCCUCCCACUGCCUAGACUGUCGAUGCUGGGACACCGCAGCUUCUCUCUUUUUUAUCACAAGUUUAUUCUGUUGGGUCAUGUGACUUCCACUAUGACUGAUUUCCUGUCCUGUUUUCAACAAUUCCUUUGCAGUUGCUCCACCAAUGAGGAUUGCCUUUUGCUGUAUUUAUCUUGCCUGUGAAUCCAGCCCUUAGUGUCCCAUGUUCACACGUCAUUGCUCGUGUGUAGAAGUUGAUUCGCAAAUAUUCCAUAAAUGUAUUAUAUUGGGUCAUCCUACAUCCUUCCCAAGGGCAAAAAUCUUCAGCGGCAAUGAAGGUUUGGACUGAUGAGCAGUGGCUGCAGAACUUUUGGAUGCACAAGUCCACAUUCCUGCAUCUGUGUGCAAAACUCACCAAAAUAAAAGCUGCACUGACAAUGGAGAAGCAAAUAUAAAUUGCACUAUGGGGACCUGCAACACCAGAUUCUUAUUGGUCAGUCAGCGGUCUCUCUACUAAACCAAGGUGAAAUGGAUUUCUUUAAUGUAAAGUAGUCAGAACAUAUUGUUAAAGAUCAUUUCAUGUUCAAUGCCCUGUUAAUACCUCUGCAAUCACAGAACAACAAAGUAGUGUUACUGGGUUUCAGACUGUUGUCUCUUACACCUUUCUUAAGUUUCCAUAGCUAUAUUUCUGAGUAAGGCUAAGUUUUCAUAGAAUCAUAGAAGUUUAGGGUUGGAAGAGACAUCAGGAGGUUAUCUAGUCCAACCCCCUGGUCAAAGCAGGUCCAAUACCAACUAAAUCAUCUCAUCCAGGGGUUUGUCAAGCCAGGCCUUACACCAAGUAACAAGUUUUCAGGGCCAGAGAGAGGGGAGGAUUUGUGCAGGGGCCAAACCGUGCUCAGGGGAGGGAGGGACAGAUGGAGGGGGCAGGUGCCAGCGGAGAGGCCUAGGACAUUGCGGUAGCCCAUGAUCGGGGUAGACAGGGGGCUGGGAGGUGCAACACAUGGGGGGGGGAGCCUGUGCUGGGGCCCAAAACCAGGUGUGGGGGCAGAGGAGCUUGUGUCUGUCUUGGCUCAGCACCCGGUCCCAGGGCUGCGAGGGUCACAGUGCCACCUAGCCCGGAGCUUAGCAGUGCUCCUCUCUCUGAGAUGCUGCACUAAGCUGCCCAAGGAGACUUGACUCAGUGCCCUGCGUCUCACUCUGACCUGCCGCUUUAACCAGCUUCAGCCUUGGCACAGGCGUUUGGGGUAUGACAUCAUUGCUUUCCCAUUUCUGGAGGUGUAAUGUGCUUGGGCGUAGCCUCCUGGCAGCCCUCAAAUGCGCCUUGUCUGCUGCCCCCUCCACCCCGCCAGCCGGGCACUCCAUUCCUUCCGAGUCGCUGUCGAUGCUUCCCUCCAUUUAUUUAUUUAAAAAACAGUAUUUUCAUGACUCCGCCUCAGCACCCCCCUCAUUUACCUUAGGUACCAUUGUGCCACUUAAGGUAGGAUUCUAAUAGUAAAUAAUUCUACAAAAUAGUUUCUGCUAGUAGAUAAGCACUCACAUCUCAGUGUUUUCUAGUAUGUUUCCUAUGUUCUUAUAUAAUAAGUUUGCAAUUCACAAUUCAAAAAUUGUCUUUUUUAUUUUUCCUGGAAGUACAAGUCCAUUCUUUAUUUUAUGACACCAAGACUGUCCGAUUUCCUGGUUUACCAUCAAAACUUCAUCCAUUUCCUUUGUUGAUCCACAAUGAGAACUGCCUUUUCUCAACCAUUCUGCCUCUCUAUCUAGAAAAUUAUCGCUCGUCUAUACUGGAAAGUUUUACCAAUUGUACAGGAGUUAUACCAAUAAAUACCCUAUGUGGACACAUAAUCUGGUAUAAGAGUGCUUUUUGUGGUUUAGUUUAAGACUCUUCCAGACCAACCAAGCUAAACUUAAAAAGGCACUCUUAUACCUGAACAACUGGCUGGGAUGAUUUAGCUGGGGUUGGUCCUGCUUUGAGCAGGGAGUUAGACUAGAUGACCUCCUGAGGUCUCCCAACCCUAAUCUUCUAUGAUUCGACAAACUGUGUCCACACACAGAGUUAUGGCAGUAUAACUAUACCUGUUUAAACCUACAACAGGACCUUUGUGCUUCACGUCAUCACUUGUGUGUAGAAUUUACUUCCCAAAUAUUCAUAAAGGGCACUAUACUAUCUAGAUUCACGUGACAUUGAUAUUAAUGGGAAUACUUGCUAUGCAAAAGUUAAGCACUUGUUCAAUUUUUUUCUGGAUAGAGGCCUUAGUUUGCACACUAAUACUGCAAUUGUUAAUUAGCUGUGAACUCUACCAAAUAAUCUAUGUAUCUAAUACGUAUCUACAUUCCUAUAACAGUCUAUGCUGGACUUCCAGUAAUAUAUAAUUUUGUUUUCCCUUCAUUAAAAUAAUUCAUUUCUUUAACUAACUCCCACAUCCUGCAAACACUAAAGCACAUGCAUCUCUUCACGUACUUUAUCAGUUGCACUGAUGUUCAUUUUGCUACUGAUUUGUUUAUAUUUGAUUGGCCAGGGCCAUGAAAGUAAGAUAUCCAAUCAAUAAAUUGUCUUUACAUUAUCAUAGUUCCAUAAUAUUUCAUAGAUUUUAAGGACAGAAGGAAUCUUAAGAUCCUCUAGUCUGAUCUAUAACAGAGGCCAUAUAAUGUCACCCCUUUAUCCCUGCACUGAGCUUAUUGUAUUUGACCCUUCAGCACCUGGUAUUUUCUCUGUGAAGGUACUUAUUACACUAUAAUCAAGCCAUCUCUCAGUCUUCUUCUUGAUAAAAUACACAGAUUGAGCUCUUUAAGUCUCUCAUUGUAAGGCAUUUUUGUGGCUCUUUUCUACACUUGUUCCAAUUUUUCAACAUCUUUAAUAACCAAUAAUACUUAAGAACUCUAUAUAGUAUUCCAGUGUCAGUCUCACCACCUGAUACUGAGGUAACAUGAUGUCCCUUUUACUCGCUACUCCUUCUCUAUACAACCAAAGAUCAUAUUAGCCCAGCAUCGCACUGGGAACUUCUGUUUAGUUGCUUAAUCACUGACUCCUAAAUCCUUUUCAGAGUCAUUGCUUCCCAGGAUAGAGUCUCCCAUUCUGUAGGCUUACGUUCUUUGGGCCAGGUUUUUAAAGGUAUUGAAGACUUGAAAAAAAAUCAACUGAUGCCUGCACAUAAAUACACUGCUCCUGUUAAGUCUGAUCUUUAUUUUUAUUGGAAAAAUAAAAUUGUCUAUGUGUGACCCAGGAACCUCUUUGUGCCAACUAGAAGAGGACACAGGAGGUGCAUAGGGUUUUACAGAGAUCCCUUGGAUUGGUAUCUGCAUAAUAGUUCAACAAAGGGUGGCAUGUGAUGUCUCUGACGAGCGCCAGUAGCCCACUUAUCAUUAUCAUUGCAAAAUAUAUUUAUGUAUAAUGUUUAAGAAGUAACAUAUCUAUAGUGAAAAUUAUGUUCUUAAUGUCUUGGAGCUAAGGCAGGAGGUGACAUAUCUAGGAAAUGUUCCUUUAUACUUAUUUCACUGCCUGGUCAUUUAUAUAUUAUUUAUGUAUAUCUCACACAGUAUAUGCCAAUUUGCAUAUGAAGCCACGUGUGGACAAGAGAUUAAAUCUACAGGAAUAAACAAA